AUUGAACGCUGGCGGCAGGCCUAACACAUGCAAGUCGAGCGAGCGGCGGACGGGUGAGUAAUGUAUGGGGACUGCCCGAUAGAGGGGGAUAACUACUGGAGACGGUGGCUAAUACCGCAUACUGUCGGAUAACCCAUAUGGGAUUAGCUAGUAGGUAAGGUAAUGGCUUACCUAGGCGACGAUCCCUAGCUGGUUGGAGAGGAUGAUCAGCGACACUGUAACUGAAACGCAGCCCAGAAGCCUACGGAGGGUGCAGUGGGGAAUAGUGCACAAGGGGCGCAAGCCUGAUGCAGCCAUGCCGCGUGUAUGAAGAAGGCCCUAGGGUUGUAAAGUAAUUUCAGUCGGUAGGCGUUACCGACAGAAGAAGCACCGGGUAACUCCGUGCCAGCAGCCGCGGUAAUUA
rnacentral:rRNA from 1 species